AUUGAACGCUGGCGGCAGGCCUAACACAUGCAAGUCGAGCGGAAGCAGAGUACUUGCUCCUUGAUUCAGCGGGCGACGGGCGAGUAGUGCAUAAGAAUCUGCGUGGCUAUGGUGUCUAACGUCAGGAAACAGGCGCUCAUACCGCAUAACUCCAUACGGAGUACGUGGGGAAUCAUCGGACCUCACGAUAUCACGUGAGUCGAGGUCGGAUUAGCUAGUUGGUGGGGUAAAGGCCUACCAAGGCGACGAUCCGUAGCUGGUCUGAGAGGAUGAUCAGUCACACUGGAACUGAGACACGGUCCAGACUCCUACGGGAGGCAGCAGUGGGGAAUAUUGGACAAUGGGCGCAAGCCUGAUCCAGCCAUACCGCGUGUGUGAAGAAGGUCUUCGGAUUGUAAAGCACUUUUAUUUGGGAGGAAAGGCAGUAAGUUAAUACCUUGCUGUUUUGACGGUACCAACAGAAUAAGCACCGGCUAACUUCGUG
rnacentral:rRNA from 1 species